rnacentral:rRNA from 1 species
GACGAACGCUGGCGGCGUGCCUAAUACAUGCAAGUCGAGCGGGCCUCCGGAGGUGCUUGCACCUCCGGAAGGCCAGCGGCGGACGGGUGAGUAACACGUGGGCAACCUGCCUUUGAGGCCGGGAUAACACCGGGAAACCGGUGCUAAUACCGGAUACGUCCUCUUUCGCGCCUGCGAGAGGGGAGAAAGACGGUCUUUAAGGCCGUCGCUCAAAGAGGGGCCCGCGGCGCAUUAGCUGGUGGGUGGGGUAAGGGCUUACCAAGGCGACGAUGCGUUGCGGACGUGAGAGGGUGAUCGGCCACACUGGGACUGAGACACGGCCCAGACUCCUGCGGGAGGCAGCAGUAGGGAAUCAUCCGCAAUGGGCGAAAGCCUGACGGUGCAACGCCGCGUGAGUGAGGAAGGUUUUCGGACCGUAAAGCUCUGUUGUGAGGGAAGAACAGCUUCCGGAGGAAAUGCCGGAGGUUUGCCGGUACCUCACCAGAAAGCCCCGGCUAACUACGUGCCAGCCGCCGCAGUAACAC